AAUGUGCAAACCCAAACCAACAAACCUAGUCCCUGGCCAGCAACACUAGUUGAACCAACCAGGUAGAAAACCCAAGAAGCUCACUCAACACCACUAACCACCAGAACCGAGCAAGAACUAUCCAUUGGAGUUGAAACAGUUAGAGAUCAACCUCCAAAUACCAGCCGCCAUAGCUGAACUAGCCCAAACUAAGAAGAAAACCUCUACAGUCAAAAUCACAGUAAGACAGCUCUUCUAUAGAAGCACCUAGGACUCACCACCGCCAUUUUUAGAGGAAAGGAAGGCAGGAGCCAUGGCAUCUCAGUCUCCAUUAGCCAUGGCAUGCUGGCAACCAUCCUUUAAUGCCAAAUCUAUAGAUCCCCAAGCAGCCUUCCAACAACUUCCCCCAAAACGAAUGGCCAAACACUAGAUAUGGGAGAAGUAAAAACCCAUGAAGCAGAAAUCACCCAUUAGAUCCUUCCACUGCAUUCCCAUUGCAGAUCCUCUUCAAUCCACCCUCACCAUUUAGAUUCCAUAUCUACAGAACCAGAUUCACCAAAAAAACAAAUCAUACAAACCUAACCGAGGAAGGGGAGGGAAACCUAUAACCUAGCUGGAAACCAAGCCUUCAAAAGCAAUUACUUACAACAAUAGGUUAAUUUCUAUCUAUUGAUGUAAACAUCAAUAAGUAGAUUGUUUCCUGAAAACUUAUAGAAACUUAUAAUUGGAAUGGUAAAGACAUAACCUAAUUGGCAAUCAUUUGAGAGGGUUCAG
rnacentral:misc_RNA from 1 species